GGAGCAAGGAGCCCAUUGGGCACGGCCGCACUAACCCUAGCUCCCCAUCCACAGCCACGCACUCCUCCCUCCUCCCUCUCACAGCUGCCACACCCCAUUCCUCUCUUCCUCCUCCCUCCUCCUUCCUGGAUCCCUGCCAUCGCCACACCCACUCGUCUCCUCCUCUCUCCUUCCUGAUCUCUACGUCGGCCGCAGCGCGAGAGGAGCAGCGGGGCGGAGAUGCUCCCGGCCCCGCCUCUCGGUGCACAGCCUGCGCCGCCGUGGACGUCCCGAGCCCCGUGAAGGUGCGCCGCCGGCCACGAGCGCCGCAAUGGCUGUGGUCCCGCUCAUGGAGUCAUCCAUGGCCGCCCGGAACGCGAAGAGGAGGGAGGGGCUCGCGGCGCGCUGGGGAGGGGGGGAGACGGGAAGGAAUGGGCGAGUGGGAAGGGGGCGAGCGGGAUGGGCGGGGCGGCAGAUGGGGAGGCGGCUAGGGUUCUACCUGCUGCUGGCGGAAGUAGCAGGGUUUGAAGGAGCGGCAGAUGUGGGCAUGGUUGCGGUUGGGGAAGGCUCGCCGGCUGGGGGACGGCGAGCAUCGGUGAGCGCAACGAAAGGAAGCCAGGCAUCGGCGUACGACAAUGAUUUGGGCGCCUGCGGCAUGACGGCGAGUCGCCGCCGAACGCUCAGCGAUGGGGCGAGUUGGUUAAGGCGUCAGUGGCACCUUUGCUCGUCGCCAAGGAUGGCACGUGCGCGAUCUGAAAUACGAUGCCGGCCAACUUUGGCCUCCGAGGCUUCCCUGACACCCUCCUCCACCACUACCUCAAUAAAAAUGUCUUCAAAGGAUUAGGGCUUAGGGCAACUCGAUGGCAGCCAGUCGGAGUUUGCUAAUUUGCAUAUGCAAGUCCUUUUGAAAUAUGAAACUUCUGUGUGGUGAUGAGGUUUUGCUCAUCUUGCUUCUGCUCAUCUUGAUUGAUUCAUCUCCAGUGAAGGGGUGUGCCUUUUGAUGCAUUCAUUUUCUCUUUCAUACAUGGUGUUCAUCUUUGUUUUGGAGAACAUCACCCUUGCUGAUGUUCACCUUAUCUAUGUAUGCAGGGGGCUUGUCCUUCCAUGGUGCUCAGCCACGGACAGAUUUGGAGGGAAAUAGGAGAUCCUGACGAAAAUGAGCAUGCUAGCGGUGGAUCCAAGGAUGCGUGGUGAUUGUGCCAGGUUUGUGCUCUGGCUCUUCUGUUGGAAUCGAAGCUUCAUCAAAUCUAUCUGGGCGUUCAUUGCGUAAUACAAUGUUGAGAUUGAGAACAUUUUCAUAGGGGAACUUAAGAACUAGGAGGGUGCAGAUAAGUAAGAGUUGUUGGCAGCAGCAACCUACACAUGUGGAAACAGUGGCUAUGGCGGUUCAAAGGGAAGUUGUGGCUGCUAGACAGCAACUCACAACUUAGUGGCGGCUCAAAGGACAUAUAAUCUAUUUCUUCUUGGAGCUAUCUACUAUCAUAUUAUGACUCAUUGCUAGCUGAAGCUUCUAUUUUCUCGCCUUUUGUGGUGGCGAUUAUUCCUUGGACUGCAGUAAUUCCAUUUGCUAUUCCUCAUGUUGCAACCUUUUCCCGUAGAAUCAAAAGGAAUUAGAUGGAAGAAAUGGCAGGAGAGAAGGAAUGGUAUUCUCGGCUGACAUUCAAAAGCAGUCAAGAUGGUGAAGUUUAGAAUGGAGGAGCUCCGCGGAAUUAUGGAUAAAAAAUAUCCAUAACAUGUCUGUCAUUGCUCAUGUCGACCAUGCUUGCUAUUAUUAGAGAAGGAAUGGUAUUCUCGGUUGACAUUCAAAAGCAGUCAAGAUGGUGAAGUUUAGAACGGAGGAGCUCCACGGAAUUAUGGAUAAAAAAUAUCGAUAACAUGUCUGUCAUUGCUCAUGUCGACCAUGGCCAGUUUUACAUUUACUUCUUCGAUAAGGAGAUGACCAUGAACAGAGUAUCAUGGUAUUUGCCUUGGCAUUACUGAUGUUGUGUUCAGAUUACUGAAGGAUUGGUAGCCGCAAAGGAGUGAAGGGUAGAAAAUAUGUCCAUUGUCAUUGAAUUGGUGGGAUUGUCCCCAAGUUAGUGCUGCAGAUGUUUCUAUUUUAGAGCAAGAAGCCAAAUCAUGCUGUUCAUUGUAAAUCUUGAAAAGCUUGUUUAUUGUCACUUCUAUAUCUGUUGUAAAUGUUUAUUCAUGAUGUGGUACUUGUCAAUCUUGUUUUGCCCUUCUUUUUCAAGUUUGCC
rnacentral:rRNA from 1 species